CCAAUAGCGUAUAUUAAAGUUGUUGCAGUUAAAAAGCUCGUAGUUGAAUUUCGGGAUUAGUACGUUGGUCGUGCCUUCGGUACGUACUGGUGUUACUGAUUCCUACCUUCUGACGAACCAUCAUGUCAUUAAUUUGGUGUGGCGGGGAAUCAGGACUGUUACUUUGAAAAAAUUAGAGUGUUUAAAGCAGGCUCGCGCUUGAAUACAUUA
rnacentral:rRNA from 1 species